rnacentral:rRNA from 1 species
UACGGAGGGUGCAAGCGUUAUUCGGAAUUACUGGGCGUAAAGCGCACGUAGGCGGCCUCGUAAGUCAGGGGUGAAAUCCCACGGCUCAACCGUGGAACUGCCUUUGAAACUGCAGGGCUUGAAUCCUGGAGAGGGUGGCGGAAUUCCUGGUGUAGGAGUGAAAUCCGUAGAUAUCAGGAGGAACACCGGUGGCGAAGGCGGCCACCUGGACAGGUAUUGACGCUGAGGUGCGAAAGUGUGGGGAGCAAACAGG